UACGAAGGGGGCUAGCGUUGUUCGGAAUUACUGGGCGUAAAGCGCGCGUAGGCGGUGAUCCAUGUCAGAGGUGAAAUCCCGGGGCUCAACUCCGGAACUGCCUUUGAAACGGGAUCGCUAGAGUCCGAGAGAGGAUGGCGGAAUUCCUAGUGUAGAGGUGAAAUUCGUAGAUAUCGGGAGGAACACCUGUGGCGAAAGCGGCUCACUGGACCACAACUGACGCUGAGGCGCGAAAGCUAGGGGAGCAAACAGG
rnacentral:rRNA from 1 species